AACCUCGCCAUUUCUAGUUCCCCAGCACGACACCACCGCCGUCCACACCUUCUCCGACGAAACCCUAGCGAUGGCGUUCCGCGGCGCAGCCUCCCGCUCCUUCCUCGCCGCCGUCCGCGGCCGCACCGCCUCCACUGUCCCGCGCGUACGCGCGGCCCCCAUUCCCGCCGCCCUUCCCCGUCGCAUCCCUGCCUCGGCGCCCUCCUCCCCUCUCGCCGCCGCAAGGCCAUUGGCGGCGUUGAUGGGGUCGCCGGCGUUGGUUGCCGCAAGGCUGACGGGGCACUGCGCGGCGAGCGCGCGGGCGUGCUGUGAGCUCUCCCAGGGUACCCUCUUCUGCCGCACUUCUCAGGAUCGCUAACAAGGAAAAAUGGGAAAGAUGGUUGACGCAGAGGACAGCCAGAAUAAUUUUGGGACCCAUUGCGUCAAAUAAUGUACUUAAAGGACGAGUUGCUGCCCUUCGCAAGGAUACAACAGUUCUUUUGGGUGCAUCUCCUUGGAAGCUCUUCUGGGUUCAGUUCCUUUUCCUGGAUUCUGCAAAGUUAAAAAACUCCCCACUGCCGGUGCUAGUUUUUGUCUCCUAGACAAACGGACAUUCUACUUGAUAUUUUUAUAUAUGAAUAACGUCCUUUUGAUCAGCACAUGUCUCAUUGGAUGGUUCUUGUUUGCGAGGCAUGUUGAAAUCUUUAAUUCGUAAUCGGUAUCAUGCUGUUUCUCUA